CAGCGGGCUACCGUUGAUGAUCAUACAGAAAGACAAAACACGUGAAUCGGCAUGAGCAAAGAGAGAUGCGUUGCCUCUAUUGGAAAUGUGUCGAAUGGGGUAUACAAGAAGAAACAAAACUUGUGUCUCAGGCUUCACAGCACAUAGACAACACAGCACCAGUCACGUGACUAUAUCGUGUGAACAUUCGUCCUUUAAUGCCUCGAACACCGGGAUACGGAUUCGUGGUGAGGAGUUGUCGACCUUGGCAACAUGUUGGUGGAACAGAAUAGUACAUGAUACUUUCUGCACAGCUGUUGUGAGAUUCUAUUCACUGACCAAUGAUGUUCAGCAUACUACGUUAUAUAAACCUGGAAUGAAACUCUCCUGUUCAUUGGACGGUCAGAAUAUUCCGAUCUCAGUACACGAACAAACAGCCUAUAACUCAG